rnacentral:rRNA from 1 species
UACGGAGGGUGCAAGCGUUAAUCGGAAUUACUGGGCGUAAAGCGUGCGCAGGCGGUUUGUUAAGUCCGCUGUGAAAUCCCCGAGCUCAACUUGGGAAUUGCAGUGGAUACUGGCAAGCUGGAGUAUGGUAGAGGAAGGUGGAAUUCCCGGUGUAGUGGUGAAAUGCGUAGAUAUCGGGAGGAACACCAGUGGCGAAGGCGACUUCCUGGCCUGUUCUUGACGCUGAGGCGCGAAAGCUAGGGUAGCAAACGGG